rnacentral:rRNA from 1 species
UACGAAGGGGGCUAGCGUUGCUCGGAAUUACUGGGCGUAAAGCGCACGUAGGCGGAUCGUUAAGUCGGGGGUGAAAUCCUGGAGCUCAACUCCAGAACUGCCUUCGAUACUGCGGUGCUUGAGGACUGGAGAGGAGACUGGAAUUCAUGGUGUAGCAGUGAAAUGCGUAGAGAUCAUGAGGAAGACCAGUGGCGAAGGCGGGUCUCUGGACAGUUCCUGACACUGAGGCACGAAGGCCAGGGGAGCAAACGGG